rnacentral:rRNA from 1 species
CCUACGGGAGGCAGCAGUGGGGAAUAUUGGUCAAUGGGCGCAAGCCUGAACCAGCAACGCCGCGUGAAGGAAGAAGGUUUUCGGGUUGUAAACUUCUUUUUAGCGGGAAGAGAAGGAGACGGUACCUCUUGAAUAAGCCGCGGCUAACUACGGGCCAGCAGCCGCGGUCAUCCGUAGGGGGCAGGCGUUGGUCGGAUUUAAUGGGUGUAAAGGGCGUGAAGGCGGGAAGACAAGGCAGAUGUGAAAUCCCGUGGCUCAAACACGGAACUGCAUUUGAAACUGUGAUUCUUGAGUACGGGAGAGGUAGGCGGAAUUCUGGGUGUAGCGGUGAAAUGCGUAGAUAUAAGGAAGAACACCAGUGGCGAAGGCGG